rnacentral:rRNA from 1 species
AUGGUGCUCGCAAGCGACGAAUGGAGGUUGUUCGACAUAGGCACGGAGGAGGAGGAGGGGCACGGACGGAGGAGGAUAGAGCACCUCUCUUCUUCUAGGUUCUUCUCCAUACCUUCACUUCUUGUAUGCGCCUGUGCUGCAGCUCACCCAUGGUCUUGUUUGUCCUGCAGGUGCCACCGGACGCAAGGGUGGAGCCUAUGCCUCCUUGCUGAAGCUUCUCGCUCUACACCAGUUUAUGGUGCUGCGGAUGUGGUUAAGAUGGCGUUCUACACUAUGCUUCUUAUGUUGCAUGUGAAUGGACAUGAGUAG